rnacentral:rRNA from 3 species
AGACCCGAAACCCGGUGAUCUAGCCAUGGGCAGGUUGAAGGUUGGGUAACACUAACUGGAGGACCGAACCGACUAAUGUUGAAAAAUUAGCGGAUGACCUGUGGCUGGGGGUGAAAGGCCAAUCAAACCGGGAGAUAGCUGGUUCUCCCCGAAAGCUAUUUAGGUAGCGCCUCGUGAAUUCAUCUCCGGGGGUAGAGCACUGUUUCGGCUAGGGGGCCAUCCCGGCUUACCAACCCGAUGCAAACUGCGAAUACCGGAGAAUGUUAUCACGGGAGACACACGGCGGGUGCUAACGUCCGUCGUGAAGAGGGAAACAACCCAGACCGCCAGCUAAGGUCCCAAAGUCAUGGUUAAGUGGGAAACGAUGUGGGAAGGCCCAGACAGCCAGGAUGUUGGCUUAGAAGCAGCCAUCAUUUAAAGAAAGCGUAAUAGCUCACUGGUCGAGUCGGCCUGCGCGGAAGAUGUAACGGGGCUAAACCAUGCACCGAAGCUGCGGCAGCGAACGUAUCACCCAAGACAACUUUACGGAGUUGACGAUUGACGGAGCGAAGCGACGUCAAAGCGUUCAUUAAAGUCGAGUUGGCUUAGGGAUACGUUCGUUGGGUAGGGGAGCGUUCUGUAAGCCUGUGAAGGUGUGUCGUGAGGCAUGCUGGAGGUAUCAGAAGUGCGAAUGCUGACAUAAGUAACGAUAAAGCGGGUGAAAAGCCCGCUCGCCGGAAGACCAAGGGUUCCUGUCCAACGUUAAUCGGGGCAGGGUGAGUCGACCCCUAAGGCGAGGCCGAAAGGCGUAGUCGAUGGGAAACGGGUUAAUAUUCCCGUACUUGGUGUUACUGCGAAGGGGGGACGGAGAAGGCUAUGUUGGCCGGGCGACGGUUGUCCCGGUUUAAGCGUGUAGGUGUGUGUUCCAGGUAAAUCCGGUUCACUUUAACACUGAGGCGUGACGACGAGGCACUACGGUGCUGAAGCAACAAAUGCCCUGCUUCCAGG